rnacentral:rRNA from 1 species
AGAGUUUGAUCAUGGCUCAGGACGAACGCUGGCGGCGUGCUUAACACAUGCAAGUCGAACGGAAAGGCCCUGCUUUUGUGGGGUGCUCGAGUGGCGAACGGGUGAGUAACACGUGAGUAACCUGCCCUUGACUUUGGGAUAACUUCAGGAAACUGGGGCUAAUACCGGAUAGGAGCUCCUGCUGCAUGGUGGGGGUUGGAAAGUUUCGGCGGUUGGGGAUGGACUCGCGGCUUAUCAGCUUGUUGGUGGGGUAGUGGCUUACCAAGGCUUUGACGGGUAGCCGGCCUGAGAGGGUGACCGGCCACAUUGGGACUGAGAUACGGCCCAGACUCCUACGGGAGGCAGCAGUGGGGAAUAUUGCACAAUGGGCGGAAGCCUGAUGCAGCAACGCCGCGUGCGGGAUGACGGCCUUCGGGUUGUAAACCGCUUUCGCCUGUGACGAAGCGUGAGUGACGGUAAGC